GACGGAGCCAGGCUGCACCCGGCAGCGCCCAGCAGCGGGACCGGGGGCACUGGGCACACGCUGCAGCGCAGCAGGUUUCCCCGCAGUGCUGCAACGGACGCACGAGUUCGAGAGUUUGAUUCCGCAGAGCAGUUGGGCACCCCAGAUGGGACACUCUCUGUUCGGCUGCAGGACCAGUUGAGGAGGGAGACGCCUUUGGCGCGCCCCGAGAAUUCUUGGAAGGACUCCCCCUGCUCAUCCGAUCACUGCGGGGACAGACGGGGACCAUCUGGAAGCGGACCAGAUGCACGAUUUCAGGCCAGCCUCUGUUUUCUGUAAGACUCCGUUAUUAAAGUGUAUUUGCAUGCAGUGGCUGUGAAGUUCAAGGUCCUGGCGACAGAUUGCAUUGAGGACCAGGUCAGAAGACCUGGAAAAUGGGGCCUUGUCAACUCCUUUGACUGCUUCUUUAAACGAGUCCUGGCAGAUGGCUGCUCAGAGCUGUAUUCUCUGCUUUAUUGAUGUGCACAUAAAAGACUGGUGCUGCAGCUGACUGCAGGUCCUGUUAUUCCAUCCCCACAAAAGAUAUUCUGAGAAUCUGUGUUUUUCUGUUCCUAUUAUUAGUGUUACUUCAUUAUUAGGAUGAUAGCUUAUUGAGGAACGUAGACUGCUCUGAAAGGAAUGCCUCCUAUUUAUUUCCACAGAAAUGACAACGGAUACAUAGGGCGAGUUCUCAACUACAAAGCUGUUUUUCAACAUGGUCACCACCAUUAACUAUCGUUUUGUUGGUUUUUGUUUUUUUCUUCCAGUGUUGAGUGAGAGCCUGCGUGCUGUGCUUGUUUAAAAAGAAAUCAUAAUAAUUAAAAUAGAUCCUUUUGCUGUCUGGGUGGCUCGUCUUGCAUUGCUGCGCCACUGCUGAAAUGCACCACCACUGCUUCACUGCACUCACCUCCACGUGUCGGGCUUCAUAAAUGUUCUGCAGGCAUUGAUGGAUGUCAGUGGUGCGAUUUUUUCAGUGUGGAGGAGUUCAGGGACACCCUGUGCUCCAUGAGCACUUCCGAGCUUGGUGCUGUGCUGUCAUUCUGGCCCUCUGCUGCCGUCUGUGGCACGGCUGCAAACUGUAACUGAGUGCUGGCAGGAAGGUUCAGCCUCUGCUGUCAUCCCACCAGCGUCCACCUGUGAUGUUGUGGGCCGGCUUUAUAGGACAGGAGGCAUUACUUUUGGAUCAGCCCUUGUGUAGUUAUGAAAAAUUAAGGUUUAUAAAGGCUGGCUGAGUAAAUUGGUGGCUGCUAAUGAGAUCCACAACUACAGGAAAACAGUAGUUAGACACUGACAGCUUUCAAGGUCAGUUUAGAUUACCUGGCUGUGUUGGGUUAUUUUUUAUUUAAUGUUGUGUUUCAUUGCAGUAUUUUCUGAAAAAUCCUCAAGUGUGGCAUUCCGAAUCUGCCAACUCUGGUAUUCUUGAGCAACUCCAUCCUGUAAAGCAGAUACACGCUUUGAGAGUAGUGAUUGACGUGGUUCCAGCGUGACAGUGCAGGACAUGGCUGUCCUUUUCCAUCUUCAGGCCCACCUUACUGCCUUUUCAUCCUGUGCACUGAAUUGCAGUGGCAUGUCAGUAUCGAAUCCCUCAGCACUGUGCUGAGCCUCACCUUACUCAUACUCACCCACUGGACGUUACUCAGCUUUAGCAAUCAUGUUUCUGCUACAGAAGGGCUUGCCGGAUAUCUGUAGUAUUGAUCCGGCCCGAAGGUGACAACCUUCCAACCUGCUGGUCUCUGCCCAUGUUCUCUGUCACAACAUCGGAUGUGUGUGCUCGCUGGAUGCACUGGUAAGAAAUGUUUUUGAGAAGAGAACCUCGUGCUUCCCAGAGCAGUAAGACUGUGAGGAUUUGGGAGGCCCUUCACAAACCUGGUUAGAGUGUGCUUUCCGAAACGGCGUGCUGUUAAAGCAGCCUUUCUCAAAAGCAGAGCGUUGUGCCUGGUGUGACUUAAAUCCCACCCACAAAGGAGCAUUCCCUGCAGUCUCUGAUCUCAGGUGCGUGUUUCCCCCACUGCUGGAACUGCUGGACUUUCACGCCUUCACUGUGUGUGUUUGGGUCUCUUUAUUAGCUCUGUUUGUUCUACUAGCUGUAUGCAAACGUAUCAGGAGGUAAUGAAAAGAUCUUUGAAAAUAGCUUGGAGAUAUUAACCUGAGGCAAGAAGGUGAAUUUUACUGCCUUAAAUUAGGUUUCAGAGGAUGUCCUUGAACUCAGAAGCUUGGGCUUUGUUGUAGCCUGAUAUUUACUGCUUGAACUUUAACUCUAGGACUGGAGGGGGAGCUUUUCUUCACACCUUCCUGUGUAUGAAAUCUACACUUGAACUGCACUCGAGACGGGCAGAAAUGUAGCUGAGCAGAGCCUCCAGCAGCUCAGCCCUUUCCUUCAGACUAUGAAGAUGGCUUUAAUAUUCAAGAGCCCGGUACUCGGAGAAAAGCAGCCGACUGCAGUCACCCUUUCCCGGCGACCGAGAAGCACAAGACCGCUGCUGGAGGCUGCAAGUGGCAUUCGGGGAGAAUAGCAAAUUCUUGGUGGGGAGUGCAAACGCUCCGGAGCGGUUCCCCCUAGUGUUGUUUUCGAACAGCGUGAGGGAAGAAGUGCCAUUCCAAUGCUGAGAACAUGCGAAUUUGGCCUGCCUUCUGUGGUCCUUCAGAUUGCAGAACUGGAGCCACUGAGAAGCACACUAUCACGAAUUGUUGCUGGAUCGAAAGGCAUGGACACAACCUUCAUGCCAGGCGUAGAGCUGUCUGCUUAUUUUUACAUGAGGCGAAGUCCAAACUGCUCCGUUCCUAUGUGAGCAGAAGAGCCCACUACUGGUAGAAAAGACGCCGGUUGCACUCGACCUUUCCCGGCGACCAAGAAGAAUGGGACCGCUGCUCGAAGCUGCAAGCGACAUUCGGGGAGAAUAGCGAAUUCUCGGUGGCGAGUGCAAACAAUUCGGAGCGGUUCGCUCCGAGUGCCGCUUUCGAACAGUGAGAGUGAAGUAGUGCCAUUCCGAUGAUGAGAACUUGCGAAUUCUGCUUGCCUUCUGCGGACCUGCCGAAAAGGUUUUUUUCUCCGCAGUGCAGACUACAGCGCUCCCGACUUUUUCGAAUGUGCUCCCAAAGAGCACAUCUGUCACUCCUUGCUAUUCCCCUUCCCUCUUUACAGAUUGUUAUCCCUUCGACUCUUGUUGUCACAGAUUGCAGACUUGGAGGGAUAAACUCACUACCACGACAUGUCUCUCAAUCGAAAGUCAUGGAGACAACCUUCAGAGCCAGACGUAGUGCAAUCUUCGUAUUUUUACACAAGGCGAAGUCCAAACAUCUCCUCUCCCACAUGUGCAUAAGAGCACGCUAUUCGGAGAAAAGCAUCCGACUGCAGUCGACCAUUCCCGGCGACCGAGAAACACGAGACCGCUGCUGGAGGCUGCAAGCUGCAUUCGCAGAGAAGUGUGUUUUCUCAUGCAGCAACGGCAAGCACUCCGGAGCGGUUCACCGCGAGAGCCGCUUACAAACCGUGACAGCGCGUAGUGCCAUUCCGAUGCCAAGAACUUGUGAAUUCUGCCUGCCUUCUGCGGUCCUUUUGACGGGGUUUUUUCUAAUGCAGACGUGGAGCCACGGAGAAGCACAGCGCAUCGAAUUGUCGCUCGAUCCAAAGGCAUGGACACAGCAUUCAGAGCCAAGGGUAGAGCAUUCUUCGUUUUUUUACACGAAGCAAAGCCCUGUUGGAUUUUUCCCUACAGAGUGUGUGGAACUCAUUAACAACAAAGUUCCCGAGGCUCUCAUCAGUUCGGUGCCAAAGCCAGCACGGGGCGUAUGGCUGGUGUUUGUAGGCAAUUGAGAAUGAGGGAAGGCAAAGGCAGUUGUCCUUCAAGUCAGUACGAGGCUGAGAACAACCAGCGUCCCUGGUGGACAGAUAGAGGUCUGGUUGUGCUGGUGACAAGCUUCAUCAGAACGUGGCUUUUCAAGAGGGUCCUUAAUACCCAAGUUGAGCAAUCUGAGCAAGAGGAGUGCAUUAAACUCCAUCAGAACCUGCGGAGAUUUGACCCAGUCCUCCAGUGCUUAUGACUGGAGUUGGGGAAAUCCCAGAAUCCUCGUAGAAUGGCUUGGGAUGGAAGGGAGCUCAAGGAUCAUCCAGCUCCAACUCCCCUGCCUCAAGCUAGGCUGCCAACCAAGCUCCACGUUCAAUGCGAGACGAGACCCCGCUGUCCAGGUCCCCAUCCAACCUGGCUUUGGAUUCCUCCAGAAAUGGGGAAAAUCCAUGUUUGUAUGCACUUGCUCAUCGUGUUCUUCCCGUUUUGACGUGCGCUGUUGUCAUGGUUCUAUGUGUUUGUUUGCUUUUAUUUUGGGUUUCAGUAUUCCACAUCAAAACAUCAUGUAGUGUAUGGGGCAUUAAAGUGUCACUGCCCCAAUCCCAGGUACCUAUCCCUGUACAUUACAGCAGUCAUGGGAUCUGGCCCUUCCGGGUGGGGGGGGCGCUCUCUUGCUGCCUUGCAGUGGAUGCUGGAGGUGCUUUCCUGGCCGUUCCAAGCUUUUCAGGUUUGACUCGGUCCCGGGAACUCUCUCUCUCAUCUUGUCUGAUUUAUUAAUCUCAAUUUCAAUUACAUUGUAUAUAUUGUGUUAUCUUGUAUUCCAAUAUUAUAGUAAAAUAAGUUUUCCUCCA